rnacentral:miRNA from 14 species
CCUCACAGGGCUUUUGUGAAGACUCAGUGAGACCACAUUACAAGGGGGCUCAGCUCAGAGCCUGGCGCUCGGUA